GUGAACUAUUGGCGUGGAAGGUGCUUUGGAUGCGUUUGUGUCUUUUGCAAUUAUACUGCUUUUUCUUAAUGCAGAUGGUCAGUAGGACAGAAGGUAACAUUGAUGACUCGCUCAUUGGUGGAAAUGCCUCCGCUGAAGGCCCCGAGGGCGAAGGUACCGAAAGCACAGUAAUCACUGGUGUCGAUAUUGUCAUGAACCAUCACCUGCAGGAAACAAGUUUCACAAAAGAAGCCUACAAGAAGUACAUCAAAGAUUACAUGAAAUCUUCUUUAUUGGUGAAAACAUGAAUCCAGAUGGCAUGGUUGCUCUAUUGGACUACCGUGAGGAUGGUGUGACCCCAUAUAUGAUUUUCUUUAAGGAUGGUUUAGAAAUGGAAAAAUGUUAACAAAUUUGGCAAUUAUUUUGGAUCUAUCACCUGUCAUCAUAACUGGCUUCUGCUUGUCAUCCACACAACACCAGGACUUAAGACAAAUGGGACUGAUGUCAUCUUGAGCUCUUCAUUUAUUUUGACUGUGAUUUAUUUGGAGUGGAGGCAUUGUUUUUAAGAAAAACAUGUCAUGUAGGUUGUCUAAAAAUAAAAUGCAUUUAAACUCA
rnacentral:sRNA from 1 species